rnacentral:rRNA from 1 species
AGCGAACGCUGGCGGCAGGCCUAACACAUGCAAGUCGAGCGGCCGUAGCAAUACGGCAGCGGCAGACGGGAGAGUAACACGUGGGAACGUGCCCAUCAGUUCGGAACAACCCAGGGAAACUUGGGCUAAUACCGGAUACGCCCUUACGGGGAAAGAUUUAUCGCUGGAUGGAGCGACCCGCGUCUGAUUAGCUAGUUGGUGAGGUAACGGCUCACCAAGGCGACGAUCAGUAGCUGGUCUGAGAGGAUGAUCAGCCUCACUGGGACUGAGACACGGCCCAGACUCCUACGGGAGGCAGCAGUGGGGAAUAUUGGACAAUGGGCGCAAGCCUGAUCCAGCCAUGCCGCGUGGAUGAUGAAGGCCCUAGGGUUGUAAAGUCCUUUCGGCGGGGAAGAUAAUGACGGUACCCGCAGAAGAAGCCCCGGCUAACUUCGUGCCAGCAGCCGCCGUAACAC